ensembl:lncRNA
GGGGGGGAGGGGACGCACAGGGACCAAGGGACAACAGGGACACCAGUAUCACCAGUAUCACCAGUAUCACCAGUAUCACCAGUCCCAGUGUCACCAGUAUCACCAGUAUCACCAGUCCCAGUGUCCCCAGUGUCCCCAGUCCCAGUGUCCCAAGUCCCAGUAUCACCAGUGACACCAGUCCCAGUGUCACCAGUAUCACCAGUGUCCCCAAUCCCAGUAUCACCAGUGACACCAGUGUCCCCAGUCCCAGUGUCACCGGUGUCACCAGUGACACCAGUGACACCAGUCCCGGUGUCCCCAGUAUCCCCAGUGUCACCAGUGUCACCAGUGUCCCCAGUCCCAGUGUCCCCAGUCCACCCAGUCCCAGUCCCCCCAGUCCCAGUGUCCCCAGUGUCACCAGUAUCCCCAGUGUCCCCAGUCCCAGUGUCACCAGUGACACCAGUGACACCAGUGACACCAGUAUCACCAGUCCCAGUGUCCCCAGUCCCAGUGUCACCAGUGUCCCCAGUGUCCCCAGUGUCCCCAGUCCCAGUGUCCCCAGUCCCAGUGUCACCAGUGACACCAGUCCCAGUGUCCCCAGUCCCAGUGUCCCCAGUGUCCCCAGUGUCCCCAGUCCCAGUGUCACCAGUAUCACCAGUGUCCCCAGUGUCCCCAGUCCCAGUGUCACCAGUAACACCAGUGACACCAGUCCCAGUCCCCCCAGUCCCAGUGUCCCCAGUGUCCCCCAGUCCCAGUGUCCCCAGUAUCACCAGUCCCAGUGUCCCCAGUCCCAGUGUCCGCAGUCCCAGUAUCACCAGUGUCCCCAGUCCCAGUAUCCCCAGUCCCAGUAUCACCAGUGACACCAGUCCCAGUGUCCCCAGUGUCACCAGUAUCCCCAGUGUCCCCAGUGUCCCCAGUCCCAGUGUCACCAGUGUCCCCAGUCCCAGUAUCCCCAGUUCCAUCCCAGUAUCCCCAGUUCCAUCCCAGUUCCAUCCCAGUAUCCCCAGUUCCGUCCCAGUUCCAUCCCAGUUCCAUCCCAGUAUCCCCAGUUCCCUCCCAGUUCCCUCCCAGUAUCCCCAGUUCCAUCCCAGUAUCCCCAGUUCCGUCCCAGUUCCAUCCCAGUAUCCCCAGUUCCCUCCCCGUAUCCCCAGUUCCCUCCCAUUUCCAUCCCAGUUCCAUCCCAGUUCCCUCCCAGUAUCCCCAGUUCCCUCCCAGUUCCCUCCCAGUUCCCUCCCAGUAUCCCCAGUUCCCUCCCAGUUCCAUCCCAGUAUCCCCAGUUCCCUCCCAGUAUCCCCAGUUCCCUCCCAGUAUCCCCAGUUCCCUCCCAGUAUCCCCAGUCCCAUCCCAGUUCCCUCCCAGUAUCCCCACUUCCGUCCCAGUAUCCCCAGUUCCAUCCCAGUAUCCCCAUUUCCCUCCCAGUUCCAUCCCAGUAUCCCCAGUUCCCUCCCAGUUCCCUCUCAGUUCCAUCCCAAUAUCCCCAGUUCCAUCCCAGUAUCCCCAGUUCCGUCCCAGUCCCAUCCCAGUUCCCUCCCAGUAUCCCCAGUUCCCCCCCAGUUCCCUCUCAGUUCCAUCCCAAUAUCCCCAGUUCCAUCCCAGUAUCCCCAGUUCCGUCCCAGUUCCAUCCCAGUUCCCUCCCAGUAUCCCCAGUUCCCUCCCAGU